AUUGAACGCUGGCGGCAGGCUUAACACAUGCAAGUCGAGCGGGGUGAUGGUGCUUGCACUAUCACUUAGCGGCGGACGGGUGAGUAAUGCUUAGGAAUCUGCCUAUUAGUGGGGGACAACAGCUCGAAAGGGAUGCUAAUACCGCAUACGUCCCACGGGAGAAAGCAGGGGAUCACUUGUGACCUUGCGCUAAUAGAUGAGCCUAAGUCGGAUUAGCUAGUUGGUGGGGUAAAGGCCUACCAAGGCGACGAUCUGUAGCGGGUCUGAGAGGAUGAUCCGCCUCACUGGGACUGAGACACGGCCCAGACUCCUACGGGAGGCAGCAGUGGGGAAUAUUGGACAAUGGCGGAAGCCUGAUCCAGCCAUGCCGCGUGUGUGAAGAAGGCCUUAUGGUUGUAAAGCACUUUAAGCGAGGAGGAGGCUACUUUAGUUAAUACCUAGAGAUAGUGGACGUUACUCGCAGAAUAAGCACCGGCUAACUCUGUGCCAGCAGCCGCAGUAA
rnacentral:rRNA from 1 species